rfam:Corchorus capsularis cultivar CVL-1 contig15105, whole genome shotgun sequence.
GGGUGCAAUCAUACCACAACUAAUGCACCGAAUCCCAUCAGAACACCGCAGUUAAGCGUGCUUCCGCGAGAGUAGUACUUGGAUGGGUGACCACCUGGUAAGUCCUCGUGUUGCAACCA